UAUCACUUUCUGUGUGACAGGAAAUAACCGCCAAUGGGAAAAUGGUGCCGCUUUGUUACAGCACUUUGUUAUAGAUAUGAGAAUAAUUUGUGAAAAACAUCCCGGAUUAUUAACUUAAUACCCAUUUCUGAGAGGAAUUACCUCCUGAGCCGGACCAGUAAUCACACUAACGUUGUCGGGUUGUGUUGCGGCGUACCGGCGUUAAUCAUGUGCAUCAUCAAACCCGUGGCUCCUCUGAGAGCCAAUCAUGUAUCAGAUUGCUUUGGGAGCAAAGAAAACAAGGCUGUGCGAGCGAGGUGUCUGGCCACGGCGCCCGGCCUCAUCUGUCUUCUUCUCAGCAAGGGGGUCUACCUGACCCCUAACCCCCGCAGAGAGCAGCAGCAUCCAUCACGACAUGUUAGGGAAGAGGUACUUUUAACCUGCACAAACUCAGCGAGUCCGUCACUAGUACCUGCAUGGGGAUGAAUAGCAGCUGUAGAUCAGGGCCAGCGCUGGGCUGAGAGAGGUAAACAACAACAAGGCUGCAGGACGGGAAGACCAUCGCCGAACGCUGGCAAGACGUGGGCAAAAAUUCAGCCUGACAGAAGACAUGAGCUCUAGGUAAAAACCACCCAUUUUCCUCCCCUCCUCCCCCCGCGCCGCCUCCCCGAAUCGACAUUCUUCCAAACAUUUGCCCAUUGACUAGAAAAAUCUCCCCGGGCCCCUGAUGGUCCCUGGCUCGGUGUGAGGAUGCCCAGGCGCUACAGCAACGCUCAUAAAAACUCAAUUCAUCAAGACGAGUGUAAUUUGCUCCGAACGGAAAGCGCCACAAAAGGGGGCGAGCUUGUCAGCGAGACAGGUGGCUGGAGAUCUCGCUCUGAUACUGAGCGAUAUGAAUAAUAGAUUCUGCUAAAUGUACGCCAGGACCCGGGCUGUAAACACAGCUGCCUCCUUUCCCUUCCAAAAGAACAGCUUGGCUGGAUGAGAAGCCCGAGCGCUCUGCCUCCACCUGAGGACUGGGAGGUGGUGGUGGGGAGAAAGGGGGGCGAUUAACUAAUCAAAUGCAUGGGCUAAAUAGGAGGCAAGGAGAGAAAAGAGGAGACAGACAAAGGGAGGAGGUCGGGGGGGAGAGAGGUGUAAGUCAGAAGGUUUGGCCUUGCCGGUUUUGUUCGAGCACCGAGGAGCACAAAGGAUGCUGAUUAGUGGGAAAUUGAUGUCAAUCUAAACAUUUAAAGUAUGAACUCUGUGUGAGUGAACAAUGGACUGUUUUACUUUAAAAACUAGACUUUUAAUAUGAGC